UACGGAGGGUGCAAGCGUUGUUCGGAAUCACUGGGCGUAAAGCGCACGUAGGCGGCCGAUCGUGUCGAAUGUGAAAGCCCUCGGCUCAACCGAGGAAGUGCAUUCGAAACUGGUCGGCUUGAGUCCGGUAGAGGAGGGUGGAAUUCCGGGUGUAGAGGUGAAAUUCGUAGAUAUCCGGAGGAACACCGGUGGCGAAAGCGGCCCUCUGGGCCGGUACUGACGCUGAGGUGCGAAAGCGUGGGGAGCAAAC
rnacentral:rRNA from 1 species